AUUGUUACAAAAAAAAAAAACUAAAAUUGGAACACUACAGAGAAGAUUAACAUGGCCCCCACCCAAGGAUAACAUUCAAAUGCAUGAAGUAUUCCAUAUCUUU
rnacentral:snRNA from 1 species